UAUGGGGGGGGCAAGCGUUGUUCGGAAUUACUGGGCGUAAAGGGCUCGUAGGCGGCCAACUAAGUCAUACGUGAAAUCCCUCGGCUUAACCGGGGAACUGCGUCUGAUACUGGAUGGCUUGAGUUCGGGAGAGGGAUGCGGAAUUCCAGGUGUAGCGGUGAAAUGCGUAGAUAUCAGGAGGAACACCGGUGGCGAAGGCGGGUCUCUGGGCCGUAACUGACGCUGAGGAGCGAAAGCGUGGGGAGCGAACAGG
rnacentral:rRNA from 1 species